GCCACAGGGGCAGAGGAGGGGGAUGACAUGGUGACAUCCAAGGGAGUGUGUGUGUGUGUGUGUUACAAGGUGAGAGUGAGGUAAAAAGACAGGAUCAUAUCAAUAAUAACGUUUCAGAGGGAAACCGGCGGUAAACGAGUCCAGGCAUCUCUCGUCUUGUUUUUCCUGCGUCCUUCCCUCUCUGCCUCUCUCGUUCUUUUAGUAACACCCCCUUCAACCCCCCUCUCUCCCUCUCUUUCUCUUUGUGUGUCUGCCUGGACUGCUGCCCAGUGCCGUACACAGGGAAAAAUUAAACACUCUAACCGCUGGGCGUGCAGCCAAAUAAAAGGCUGCGAAAAACUAUUUGAAGGGCAGCUUGUUUGUGUACAUCUGGGCUUGAAGUUUUGUGUAUAUGCUUGCUUGUGUGUGUGUGUGUGUGUGUGUGUUUGUGAGAUUUGGGUGUGCCUGUUUAGGGUGUUCUUUCCCACUAUAAUAGUGCAACCAUGGUGCUCACAGUAUGUUUGCAGAGAAGAACUCACCACCUUCCUUUACAUCAAUCAGGAAAGAGCACAGUUCAUCUAGACUUUCAUUUAAGCCCCACUGAGCGUGUUGCAGACACACACCCACAUAUUUGUCAGUAAAUUUAUGCUGAGUCAUUUGCAAAGUGCCUUUCAGUCGGGUGAUUGCAGCACUUAGUCACAUAUUAUCCAUGACCUUCUUUGCUGCCGCGCUCUGACCUUAUCUGAUGGUUAUAUCACCACUAAAAAGGGAUGUGGAGCUCUAGACCCGCCUGCGUUCAGGUGUUGGUUGGGCAUUUUUGCAGAUGGAUCCACGUUGUAAGACCCAGAGAAAUUAGUUGUUGAGUUAGUGACAGAGCUGAGCCUCGAGGGACAGAGUGUGCAUGAGAUAAGUUGAAGGCUAAACACGAGUCGGUGAUCUCUAUCCUUAUCUCUUUUUCAGCUGUAGAUGAGGGAUUUUGUGGGAAAGGUUGAAUCCUGACAGGUCUUGAGCUUUUGAUCUGCAUUAAGGUCAAAGUCCAUGCUUGUGUGCUGCUGUUCUAAUUUCCUGAACGCUGCCCCCUUCUGCAUCCCUGCAGUAAAAUACAAAGGUGAUCAAAAGUGUAUGAACCACACACACACACACACACACACACACACACACACACACACACACACACACACACACACACACACACACACACACACACACACACACACACACACACACACACAAUUUUUUUCUGCACAACUGUGUUGUUUUCUUGAGUACAAGCUUCAAUUCAAUUCAAAUUCAAAAAUACUUUAUUAAUCUCAGAAGGAAAUUCAAUUGUGAAUUGUUUGUGAGAGUUGUAUAGGCGCAGAGAUUUAAGAGCCAUUUAGAGCAAACAGUAGAUGAAAAAUUGAAAUAUUAAGCGAUUACCAAGUUAAAGUUUGUCGAUAUUUACGAGCAGCUUGUGUUGACACUGUCUGGGGAGAGUAGGGAGGAUUCUGAGUUGUUUACCCUCUUUGUUGGCUAAAACGCAGAUCUAAGAGGCGGUAACAAGGGCUUUAUGGCCACUAUUUACAUUUGCCUGUGUGGAUAUCAGAGAGUGCCUGCAUUUUUCCUGGAAUUGCUUCACGCAGGGAGGUGUAAAGGAGGGGUGAUGGAGGCGAGGAGGUAUUAGGGAGGAAACUAAGAACAAAAAGUUGAACUGGUGCCAAUAUAACCCAGCCGCAACCGGAAAAUGGAAGCAGAAGGAGGGGUGGGGGGUGUGAACAUUAUUUAUAAUUUCUUUUUCUUUCUUUUUUUCUUCUUCUCCAUCUGUGGGAAAAGGUGUUUUGCCUCCUCUCUUUAUUAUCUGUCCGUGGUUGCUCUGCGGCCACUGGGGAGGAUGUAUAUAUGUGUUUGUGUCUGUCUGUCUUACCUUAGUCCCCCUCACUACCAUCACACACACACACACACACGCACCCACACACACACACACACUUCUCGGCUUUAUGUCUGUCUCUGUCUUCUGUGCCCUUCCUUAACCUGAAACAGCAGGUAUUCUAGGAUAGGUUAAAUGAGAAAGCAAGUGUGUAUCAGGUGUCUGUCAUUUUAUUCCUCUUUGGCCUCACUGACUCUGUUCUCUAGUGUCACCUCCCUCCACACACCCAAGCACGCACACACACACACACACACACACACACACACACACACACACACACACACACACACACACACACACACACACACACACACACACACACACACACACACACACACACACACACACACACACACACACACACAAGCACACAGCUCAAC